rnacentral:rRNA from 1 species
ACGGCAGCACGAGAGAGCAAUCCUGGUGGCGAGUGGCGAACGGGUGAGUAAUAUAUCGGAACGUGCCCAGUCGUGGGGGAUAACGCAGCGAAAGCUGUGCUAAUACCGCAUACGAUCUACGGAUGAAAGCGGGGGAUCGCAAGACCUCGCGCGAUUGGAGCGGCUGAUAUCAGAUUAGCUAGUUGGUGGGGUAAAGGCCUACCAAGGCGACGAUCUGUAGCUGGUCUGAGAGGACGACCAGCCACACUGGAACUGAGACACGGUCCAGACUCCUACGGGAGGCAGCAGUGGGGAAUUUUGGACAAUGGGCGCAAGCCUGAUCCAGCAAUGCCGCGUGCAGGAUGAAGGCCUUCGGGUUGUAAACUGCUUUUGUACGGAACGAAAAGGUCUUUCUUAAUACGAGAGAUUUAUGACGGUACCGUAAGAAUAAGCACCGGCUAACUACGUGCCAGCAGCCGCGGUAAUACGUAGGGUGCGAGCGUUAAUCGGAAUUACUGGGCGUAAAGCGUGCGCAGGCGGUUUUGUAAGACAGAUGUGAAAUCCCCGGGCUCAACCUGGGACCUGCAUUUGUGACUGCAAGGCUAGAGUACGGUAGAGGGGGAUGGAAUUCCGCGUGUAGCAGUGAAAUGCGUAGAUAUGCGGAGGAACACCGAUGGCGAAGGCAAUCCCCUGGACCUGUACUGACGCUCAUGCACGAAAGCGUGGGGAGCAAACAGGAUUAAGAUACCCUGGUAGUCCACACCCUAAAC